rnacentral:rRNA from 1 species
GACGAACGCUGGCGGCGUGCUUAACACAUGCAAGUCGAACGGAAAGGCCUGCUUUCCCUUGUGGAUUGCGGGUACUCGAGUGGCGAACGGGUGAGUAACACGUGAGUGAUCUGCCCCCAACUUGGGUAUAAGCCUGGGAAACUGGGUCUAAUUCCCGAUAGGACUGCAGGGUGGUGCCUGUGGUGGAAAACGAUUUUCUAGUGGUUGGGGAUGAGCUCGCGGCCUAUCAGCUUGUUGGUGGGGUAAUGGCCUACCAAGGCGGCGACGGGUAGCCGGCCUGAGAGGGUGGACGGCCACAUUGGGACUGAGAUACGGCCCAGACUCCGACGGGAGGCAGCAGUGGGGAAUAUUGCACAGUGGGCGGAAGCCUGAUGCAGCGACGCCGCGUGGGGGAUGACGGCCUUCGGGUUGUAAACUCCUUUCGACCGCGAGGAAGCCACCUGGUUGGAAGGGUGGUGACGGUAGUGGUAGAAGAAGCACCGGCUAACUACGUG